rnacentral:rRNA from 1 species
UACGUAGGGUGCAAGCGUUGCCCGGAUUUCUUGGGCGUAAAGGGCGCGUAGGCGGCUCUGCACGUUCGUUGUGAAAUCGCCCGGCUCAACUGGGCGGGGUCAGCGGAUACGGCAGAGCUUGAGCAAGCUAGGGGGCAAUGGAAUUCCCGGUGUAGUGGUGGAAUGCGUAGAUAUCGGGAGGAACACCAGUGGCGAAGGCGGUUGCCUGGGGCUUUGCUGACGCUGAUGCGCGAAAGCGUGGGGAGCAAACAGG